rnacentral:rRNA from 1 species
UACGUAGGGGGCAAGCGUUGUCCGGAAUCAUUGGGCGUAAAGAGCGUGUAGGCGGCCCGAUAAGUCCGCUGUGAAAGUCCAGGGCUCAACCCUGGAAUGCCGGUGGAUACUGUCGGGCUCGAAUCCGGAAGAGGUGAGUGGAAUUCCUGGUGUAGCGGUGAAAUGCGCAGAUAUCAGGAGGAACACCAAUGGCGAAGGCAGCUCACUGGGACGGUAUUGACGCUGAGACGCGAAAGCGUGGGGAGCAAACAGGAUUAGAAACCCCCGUAGUCC